GAUGAACGCUAGCGGCAGGCUUAACACAUGCAAGUCGAGGGGCAGCAUGAGGGUUAGCAAUAACCCUUGAUGGCGACCGGCGCAAGGGUGCGUAACGCGUGAGCAACUUGCCCGUUUCAGGGGGAUAACCGGUGGAAACGCCGACUAAUACCCCCAUAGUAUGUUUUUGAGGCAUCUCUUAAACAUUAAAGAAUUUCGGAAACGGAUAGGCUCGCGUGACAUUAGCUAGAUGGCGGGGUAACGGCCCACCAUGGCUACGAUGUCUAGGGGUUCUGAGAGGAAGGUCCCCCCACACUGGAACUGAGACACGGUCCAGACUCCUACGGGAGGCAGCAGUGAGGAAUAUUGGUCAAUGGUCUGACGACUGAACCAGCCAUGCCGCGUGAAGGUCACGGCCCUAUGGGUCUUAAACUUCUUUGUAAGGGAGCAAUAAGUCCCACGUGUGGGAUGAUGAGAGUACCUUACGAAUAAGCAUCGGCUAACUCCGUGCCAGCAGCCGCGGU
rnacentral:rRNA from 1 species